AACGAACGCUGGCGGCAGGCCUAACACAUGCAAGUCGAACGCCCCUUCGGGGGAGUGGCGCACGGGUGAGUAACGCGUGGGAACGUGCCCUGGGGUACGGAAUAACGCCGGGAAACUGGCGCUAAUACCGUAUACGUCCGAAAGGAGAAAGAUUUAUCGCCCUGGGAUCGGCCCGCGUAGGAUUAGGUAGUUGGUGGGGUAAUGGCCUACCAAGCCUACGAUCCUUAGCUGGUCUGAGAGGAUGAUCAGCCACACUGGGACUGAGACACGGCCCAGACUCCUACGGGAGGCAGCAGUGGGGAAUAUUGGACAAUGGGGGCAACCCUGAUCCAGCCAUGCCGCGUGAGUGAAGAAGGCCUUAGGGUUGUAAAGCUCUUUCACUGAUGACGAUGAUGACGGUAAUCAGAGAAGAAGCCCCGGCUAACUCCG
rnacentral:rRNA from 1 species